AGCGGCGGCGAUAGCACAUUGAAUGCACCAAUUCCCAAUGGAUCACUAAAGUUAAGCAACGUUGAGCGUGGUUGGUAUCCGGAUGUGUGACCAUGUAUGUAAACCCGAAACCUACGUAU
rnacentral:rRNA from 1 species